GACGGAGGGUGCAAGCGUUAUCCGGAUUCACUGGGUUUAAAGGGUGCGUAGGUGGGCAGGUAAGUCAGUGGUGAAAUCUCCGGGCUUAACUCGGAAACUGCCAUUGAUACUAUCUUUCUUGAAUACCGUGGAGGUCAGCGGAAUAUGUCAUGUAGCGGUGAAAUGCUUAGAUAUGACAUAGAACACCAAUUGCGAAGGCAGCUGGCUACACGAAUAUUGACACUGAUGCACGAAAAGCGUGGGGAUCAAACAGG
rnacentral:rRNA from 1 species